rnacentral:rRNA from 1 species
UUUUGUUCUUGUUUUUAUUUUAUUUUUGUAGAAUAUUUUAAUUUUUUUUGUUUUGAUUAAAUGUUAAAAAUUUGGUUUUUGAACUGGAUUAGUACCCAGGUAAUCAAAAUUUAUUAAUUCGGGAGUAAAGUUGUAUUUAAACCGAAAAAUUAUUGACUGACCUUGGAUUUUUUUUUGGAACAUGUGUUUGGAGAGCCCUCUUUAUUGGUUUUCUUUAUUGGUACAUGUAUGAUUGUUUAGUUUUUAUAUUAUUUAUAAUGCUUUUUUAAUUUUUAUAUUAAAAACAGAUAUAUAUUUGGCUUAUAAGUUAAUUUUUCAUGUGUUACUAUUAUUAAUUUUUUUCGGAUAAAUUUUUUAUUUUAUUUUUGAAGUUGGAAAAGAAAGUAAUUUAUUUUUUAUGUGUUAAUGAAUUU